CGGGCAAAGCUCGCCCCAGCCAAGCCGAUUGUGUACACCUCACAUGGUCAGAAGCCGCCCUCCCUCCCCACUGGAGCUCCUCAGCAGUAGUUCCUUGGCUGCAGCUGUUGUUGCCAUGAUGAUGAUGUCACGGACCCAACCACCGCCGUUGGGUGACGGAAGGGGUGUGUUGGCGGUGCCGACCGAGAAGCGCAGGGAGGGCGGGCUGUUCAUUUCUUUCCCCCUCCCACCUCCAGCUUUAGCGCGAGAGUUUGGUUUCUACUUAGUGUGAGGAGGCAUCGGCGGCUCGGCUUUCGGCCGCGCUGGCCUGGGUGGGAAUGAGAGAAGCCUGGGGAAUGCCGAAUCACGGGUGGGCGGGCAGCUUCGGGGCUUGGAUGGGGGCUGCUCGUGAUCAGGGUCCAUGUUUGGCCGCCAUUUCGGAAGCUCUUGUCUGUAGGAAAAGGUCUGGGUUCAUCUUUCUCAUCAAAUAUACUAGUGAGGCUCCUUCCAAGGAAUCACAGGACCAUUUAAAGGAAGAUAGAAGCAUGUCAAAGAACGAAAGUAGUUUUUACCACCAACUAUUUAACAUUCAUUUUUCUUAUAUAGGCUCAUCUGAAUUAGUAGCUAUGAAUGUACUGGUAGAGUGUGCUUCAUAGAAAAUGAAGCAUGUGUCUGUGAAUGGUACUCAAAGCAAUAGAAUUUCAAGUUAUGGUUAAGUCUUGUGGAUUGUCUUGUAAGAUUGAUGCUUAAUUAUCUAUGGUUUGCGCUUAUGGAAAGGAAUAAUAUCAGUUUUGAAAAGACCACCAGGAAUGCAAACAGAAAUUUUGCUGUUUUGAUAACUGGCUCUGUAAUGGCUCUAUUGUGUGUGUGUCAACAUUUAACAACUAUAGCUUGAUUGGUGGUUCUGAUUAAGUUCAGUUUUGUGAUGGUACAUUUAAUGUCUAUUACUGGUAGCAGCGGCAGAACUAUCCCCCCCCAUGCUAAUGUGUUCUGCUACUCCCCAUUCAUAGUAAGUCUAACAGCUGGAAUUGGUUUGCAUUCAGUGACUUGGGAUGCAGUACAUAUUAAAUAGUUGUGAACUCCAUGUCACAACAGCGUAGAAAGUGACAUUUGGAAUAGAGAAAUAGCAGAAUUUGUGAAGAACAGUGGGCAAACAAAAUUUUAGCUACUGCUAGUUUUUUUCUAGUAUGAAGUAUUUGAUUGUAUUGCAGGUCCUGACAAUGAACACAUAAUUUCUGCUGCAGCUCUGUUUGCCGGUGGAAAAUGUAUGAAAGGAUGUCUUUUGAAACAAUCUGUGUUAUGUCCAGCAACCCUGAGCAUGGAAAAGCUGUCAACCUUGAAUAUUUUAGUUGUUUCAACAAGUAAAAUAUUUAAUAAAUGAGGUCAGUUUUUGUCUAGUGAAAACAUGACAAAAUUCUAUUUUGUUUAUUGAAUUAAAUAAAUGAACAGUUACUUGUGUUUUCAGCUGCUUUGAAUGCUGAGGACCUUGCAUGGUCCCACAGUGCUGUGGAAUCUGCAGGAACAGAUCAUCUCAGUCUAAGCAGACAUUGUGAUGAGUUCUUAUCUUUCUGUUCUUAGUACUUUUGCCUCAAGCCUGCAAUGGCUUUCUUGAAAUUGGCAUCACAGUGCAGAUUCACAUUUCAUUUACUGCUCAUUUUCAGCUUUUGCAAAAUGGUUCUCACAUUCUCUCAUAUGUUUUAUUAGGUUGUUUUUCUUAUAUCUUAGUUUUCCUAGAUGCAUCUUUUCUCGUUAACUCUUGCUUAUGUUUUAAGCGAAAGUAGGAUCCCUUUCUUAUAGCGUACUGCUGCAAAAUAACUGUUAGCUUUUUAAAAUCACUCAACAUGUAGGACUUCUGAUUACAGUAAGUGGGAAAUAUGCAAGAUCAGUGCUCUGAAUACAGGGCUGUAAAUGAUAAAAUUAUGCCUAGUGUGAGUUUCAGUAGCAUCCCUCAAAUUGUGCUGUUUAUUCUGCAGUUAACUGUUAAUCUUUGCUAUGUUCUAAUGUAAGCAUAUGUUAUAUUUAUCUUGAGGGUAACAUUUAAAAUGCUUCGGAGAAUGCUGAUGUGCCUAUCCAUAUAUUCUGAUUGAAUAAAUAGCAGACCACAAUCACCCUUUUAAUAUAUUUAUUACAUUUUUGAGCUACAUUUAAAAUUCAGUAGAAGAAAACAGAAUUGUUUAUUAAUAUGUGAUUGGAAAAUGGAUUUAUCUCUUCUUUCAUUUGUCAUGUUAGAUCAGGUGUGUGGAACCUUUUGCCUUCCAGAUGUUCCUGAACUACAACUCCCAUUAGCAUCAGCUGGCCAGGAAUGAUGGAAGUUGUAGUUUAGCAGCAUCUGGAGGACCAAAUGUUCUGCACUCUUGGAAUAUGUAGUAUGUAUUUAUUGUUUAGUUUUUAUUUGUAUUUGUGGCAAGGCUAUAUCAUUGUAAUUGUUUGAUUUCCUUUUUAUGCGUGCUUUUGAUAUUUAACAAAAUGGAUACUUGUAAAAAAAUGUUACAGUUAAUGUUAUACUCAACCAUAUCUUACUGACUCCACAAUAUUUAUAUAAGUAUCUCUUUACAGAAUGAAAUAAAAUUUAUUGAAGUAUGAAAUCCUAGCAUCUCAAACUAAACAGAGAGCUAAGAUCAUUUCAGUUCUGCUAAUGAGCAAACAAGAAAGAACAUGGCUUCUCCAUUAACAGGCCAAAUGCAAAAUCCGUUCCUCUCUGCUUGUAUGUCCUCACUUGAACUUGAUCCCCACAGAUCUGUAAACGAUUAUAACUCUUGCUAUAACUAGACCAAUAUGAGUGACUAUUUUUAGAACACACUCCUUAUUUAGCCCACAUAGAACAGAAAGGAUUGUUUUCCACAGCUCAGUGAAAAAAGUAUAGCUUUUCCAAAUGUAACAUUAAACAUUGUAUAACUUCUGCAGAAGUAGAGCCUUACUUCACGAAGCCAUGGUGUAAUUAAUUCCAGAUGUGAUUCUGUACUUCUUUGGAACCAUACCAGGGCAAAAUCUGGCCCUCAGCUAGUUAGCUACUUAUAUGCAGUCAAAAAAACAAAACAAAAACACAAUUAACUGCACAAUCUUGCACAUGACUACUCAGGAGUAAGCCACAUCGAGUUUAAUAGGACUUAUUCCCACAUGAAUAGGCAUAGAAUGGCAGCCUAAGAGAAGUAUUGUAGUGCUAGAAAUGAUACUUAAUAAGCAGCUAGGUCUCUAACUUCAUAUGUGGAUUUCUAAAACAAAGGAACACAGAAGCUAUUUUAUCACCAAAUCAGACUAUUUGUCCAUCCUUGCCCAUUGUCUGCUUUGUCAAUGACUCUCCUGUGUCUGAGGGAACUUCCGAAUUUACUAUUUCCAGGUCAGAUUCUGUCACGUACUGGCAAAUUCAGGUUGCUCAGUCAUAGUUGUGCAACAAACUUGCUUCCUCAAAAGAUCAUACUUCUUGUGAUAAGGAAAGUGAUUGGAAAUGCACUAGAAAGUUUGAGAUAACACUGCUUUGAUGCAAUGUCAUCUAACCACCUCAUAAACAAAUCAGAAUGAAUGCUCCUUCAAUAGCCAAAUGUCAUCUGAUUUCCCGGGGGGGGGGGAAUCACAAAUGCUCAAUAAAUGGGUCACCUGGGGGGGGGCUCUGAGGUAAUCUUUCACAUCACUUGCUAUUGGAGAUAACAGGAACCAGAGUUAAAUGUCAGUAAUGUUAUUUCCUCAGCUUUGGUCCGUGAUUUAAAGCAGAGCUAUGGUAUCCUAUUUUUUUACUUCAGAUUAUGUUAUUGAGUAAAACAGUUUUUUCACAACGCUGGGGGGGGGGAUAUGCUUCCCUAAAGCUCACCCCCUAUGUGGCAGUAAUACCUUCAUACAUUGGAACUGGCAGGUGAACAGCAAAUUGUGAUUUGUUCAUUUUCUUAAGUUGUAGUAUAUGUUGUGUAAUAGACUUGAUAGGAUUUGGUGAGGCCAAGGUUUUAGAAUUUAGAUGGAGUACAUUAGCUUUUUUGUGCAUCUUCAUUCUGGUUGAGAAAAGGAAGCAUUCUCCAAAUGACUUUGGCUCUCUGUGAUCAGCUUGUUAUGCAUCCAGUGAUGCCUGUGAGAUUUAGUGUUUUAUCUGCUAGGAUUUCCACUGGCAACUGAGAAAAACUCAUUAUGCACAUUUAUCACAUGAUCCACUUCAUUAGACAAAUAGAUCUGGGAGAAUAAGCUCUCCUCCUAGAAGACUCUUCAGAGGCUCCCACACAAACUGUUUACUGAUGGAUAGGCUUCUUUGGUCAGAAAACAAUGCAUUUCUUUGUAGUGAAGUGAAUGAUUCAGGAAGUUCAUUCUCCCCUAUCCUUAUUCAGAAGCUCAGAGAGGAAGCACGGAAAGGAACAUAGUCUCAAUGAAGCAACAGAGAACCUUUAGUAAUAAAGUGUAAAUCAAUUCACAGUUAGCUGUCAGCUAAAGCCUUCACAUUUGUACUAUGUACCAUGUACAGUACGUUGUAUUGCAUGGACACUGUGUCCAUGUGUUAGCUGGGCUUGAUAAAAAUGUGUUUCUUACAUGCCUAGACAUGAGCCCACUCACAUUAUUAUUAUUAGUGGGAGUGGUGUAGCUACAAAAACAGCUAGACUGUUAAACUGAUUUAUAUGCAAUAUUAUGUUUGGGCACUGUUUGUGAAAUUAACUUUGAUUUUGAUACAUUUAGAGAAUUUAGGAACAUAGGAUGCUAUUGAGUCAGUCCAUUGGCAUAUUUAGCUUAGUACUGUCUACACUGAUACCAGCUUUCCAGAGUUUCAUGACAGGAGUCUUUCCUAGCCCUACGUGUAGAUACAAAGCAGGAGCUGCACCUCUGAGCAACAGUUCUUUUAUGAGCUUCCCUUCUGCUGGGAGGCCCUUAUCUGUGCUGAUAAACUAAGCUGUAUAGCUGCUGCUUGACUGUACAAAUAUUAUGUUAAUGGAACAGGUGUGGCUAUGCUGAAAUUCAUGAGAUUUGUGCGUUUAAAAAAAAAGUGCAAUGAAGGACUAGAAAUCAAUUAAAAGGCUUUUAGGACACAAGCACACUGAGGAACUUGUCUUUGCUGCUUCCGCUCUUCCUUUUCAGAUAAAGGGAAGCUCGCCAAAGCAACUGGCAAGGACCCUUUUCAGGAUUCAGCAGCAUCCUACAUUCAUUGUACAGAAUUGGAGCUGUGGGCAUAAAUAGAAGCAUUUCUGAAGCCUGAUUACAUAAGGCCUGAAAUAUAAGCUCAUUGCCCUCCUUUUCUAUCUAAAUACAAGUGGCAGCACUACACUAUAGGGACCCCAAGGUAAGGGUUACCUAUUUUUCUGAUCCAGGUCUCUAAACAGCAGAACAAAACCCAAGGCCAAUUCUUGAUUAGGACAAAGAACAAUCUUUAAAUAAACAAAUACCCUUUGCUUGAUUAUCAGAAAUAACAUGAGCAGAGCUGCUUUAGUAAGCCCUGCCCACUGGCAUUUCUUUGAGUAUGUGACUGUUUUCUUUCAAGUCUAAGUCAAACCUACUCUGUCCCUUCAGUGAUAGGAUAGCUCUAAGAGGCUAGUUUCUGCCUGUUGCCAUGGUAAACUUGUUGUACAAGGAUAUGCAGCUUUGUUUCUUUAAAAAUCCAGGUAUUCACCCAAGCUUCAUUAAUGUGGACAAGUGAUAAAUUAUAGUAAUUAUCUUUCCCUUUCAGCAGCCUGUCUCGCUUGUGUGUCACAGAGCUACAAACUAUUUCUCCCUUUGAACUUUACAGAGGUUAGUAGCAGUCAUUCCUGAUUCCUGCUGCACCCCCAGCCCUGGUAACUUGAGAUAAGGGAUGCUAGGCCUUUAACAACAGGCCUUUUCAAUUAAACAACUCUUUUGGGCAAAGCUCUCUUGUUUAUCUUGCUGCGCAUGUAGUAAUAGGUUUUGGCUUUCUUGUUUAAAUGGUGCCAAACAGAACCUAAAAGGGAGGGAGUAAUUUUGUGUGUGUUUGCUAAUGGAAGCUUCUCUUAUUGGGCUAGCAGCAACUUGAGAGGCAAGGUGUGAACAAUAGCAAGUGGGGAGGGGCUGCUGUGGUUAACACCCCCCCUCCUAUUUGCCACAAUUCUCCUAACCCCAUCCUGCACAGUUGCUGUUGUUAAGAGUAAAAACAGGCAUGUUAAGUGCAUUUAACCUCACAUUUGUUUUGGCUCUUCAGAGUGGCAAAUGGGCAGUUCUUGAGACGGUCAUUGGCAUGCACAUGGGGUACACCCAGACACAUCCUAAAGUUUCAAAAAGACAUGGAUCAUAGUGAGGAGGAGAGGGUAUGGAGCAGCAACCUGGCUCUGUCAAUUGCCAGAACCUGUGGGAAAGUGGCGGAGGGAGGAGAGACAAAAGCAGAAGGAAGGAGGAGGAAAACACACAGAGAGAGAUAUAGGCAGAAUAACAAGGCUAGAAUGGACCUGGAGCUUCUGCCUGUGUCUGUCUCUGGAAGUGGCAGUGGCAGUGGGGUGAUUGGCUCCUCCUGUACUGCCACCACUGGAGCCAAUCACCCCACUGCCGUUUCCAGAGUCAAAUGCAGGCAGAAGCUGCAGAUCCAUUCCAGCCCUUUCCUUCUGCCUGCAUCUCUGUCUUGUGGCUUUGUCCAAGCUCCGCUCACCACAUUUUGUAGAGAGAAAUCUGUUGGGGUGAGGGGCUGCUUUUGUGGCAUGCAAGCAAGGAGAUGGAGGAGGAUACAUCCUGCCCUUUGCUUCGUCCGUUAAUUGCAGUAAUGUGAUUGAGCAAUUUAAGUCCAUAACACCUGAUGAAAGAUCGUCUCAUUCUUUAGGACAGAAAGAAAGACGCCAUAUGUUUUGGCUGAUUUAGGUUAGCUCCUUAUCUGGUUAAAGAUAAAAAUCAUGAACAUGGACUGUUUGUAUAUGCCUGUUUAUCUACAAUAAAAAAAUGGUAUUUUGU